AUUGAACGCUGGCGGCAGGCCUAACACAUGCAAGUCGAACGAGUGGCGGACGGGUGAGUAAUGUAUGGGAAACUGCCCGAUGGAGGGGGAUAACUACUGGAAACGGUAGAUAAUACCGCAUACCAUCGGAUGUGCCCAGAUGGGAUUAGCUAGUAGGUGGGGUAACGGCUCACCUAGGCGACGAUCCCUAGCGGGUCUGAGAGGAUGACCAGCCAAACUGGAACUGAGACACGGUCAAGACUCCUACGGGAGGCAGCAGUGGGGAAUAUUGCACAAUGGGGGCAAGCAUGAUACAGCCAUGCGGCGUGGAUGAAAAAGGCCUUCGGGUUGUAAAGUACAUUAAGCGAGGAGGCGUUACUCGAAGAAGAAGCACCGGUUAACUCCGUGCCAGCAGCCGCGGUAAUAC
rnacentral:rRNA from 1 species